rnacentral:rRNA from 1 species
AGUGAACGCUGGCGGUAGGCCUAACACAUGCAAGUCGAACGGCAGCACCGUAAGAGCUUGCUCUUACGGGUGGCGAGUGGCGGACGGGUGAGGAAUACAUCGGAAUCUACUUUUUCGUGGGGGAUAACGUAGGGAAACUUACGCUAAUACCGCAUACGACCUACGGGUGAAAGCAGGGGAUCUUCGGACCUUGCGCGAUUGAAUGAGCCGAUGUCGGAUUAGCUAGUUGGGGGGGUAAAGGCCCACCAAGCCGACGAUCCGUAGCUGAUCUGAGAGGAUGAUAAGCCACACUGGAACUGAGACACGGUCCAGACUCCUACGGGAGGCAGCAGUGGGGAAUAUUGGACAAUGGGCGCAAGCCUGAUCCAGCCAUACCGAGUGGGUGAAGAAGGCCUUCGGGUUGUAAAGCCCUUUUGUUGGGAAAGAAAAGCAGCAGGUUAAUACCCCGCUGUUCUGACGGUACCCAAAGAAUAAGCACCGGCUAACUUCGUG